rnacentral:rRNA from 1 species
GAUGAACGCUGGCGGCGUGCCUAAUACAUGCAAGUCGAGCGAACAGAUGAGGAGCUUGCUCCUCUGACGUUAGCGGCGGACGGGUGAGUAACACGUGGAUAACCUACCUAUAAGACUGGGAUAACUUCGGGAAACCGGAGCUAAUACCGGAUAAUAUAUUGAACCGCAUGGUUCAAUAGUGAAAGACGGUUUUGCUGUCACUUAUAGAUGGAUCCGCGCCGCAUUAGCUAGUUGGUAAGGUAACGGCUUACCAAGGCAACGAUGCGUAGCCGACCUGAGAGGGUGAUCGGCCACACUGGAACUGAGACACGGUCCAGACCCCUACGGGAGGCAGCAGUAGGGAAUCUUCCGCAAUGGGCGAAAGCCUGACGGAGCAACGCCGCGUGAGUGAUGAAGGUCUUCGGAUCGUAAAACUCUGUUAUUAGGGAAGAACAAAUGUGUAAGUAACUAUGCACGUCUUGACGGUACCUAAUCAGAAAGCCACGGCUAACUACGUG